GAUGAACGCUGGCGGCGUGCCUAAUACAUGCAAGUCGAGCGAACGGACGAGAAGCCUGCUUCUCUGAUGUUAGCGGCGGACGGGUGAGUAACACGUGGAUAACCUACCUAUAAGACUGGGAUAACUUCUGGAAACCGGAGCUAAUACCGGAUAAUAUUUUGAACCGCAUGGUUCAAAAGUGAAAGACGGCCUUGCUGUCACUUAUAGAUGGAUCCGCGCUGCAUUAGCUAGUUGGUAAGGUAACGGCUUACCAAGGCAACGAUGCAUAGCCGACCUGAGAGGGUGAUCGGCCACACUGGAACUGAGACACGGUCCAGACUCCUACGGGAGGCAGCAGUAGGGAAUCUUCCGCAAUGGGCGAAAGCCUGACGGAGCAACGCCGCGUGAGUGAUGAAGGUCUUCGGAUCGUAAAACUCUGUUAUUAGGGAAGAACAUAUGUGUAAGUAACUGUGCACAUCUUGACGGUACCUAAUCAGAAAGCCACGGCUAACUACGUG
rnacentral:rRNA from 1 species